GUUCGUAGAUUGCAUGCAUGUAAUUUCCUGAUUCAGGGUCAACAACAUGGCGCUGUCCAUGGACCAUGUCAUCAAAUGACUAUUGAUCAAGUGUCUACCCAUUGAUCAAACGUGUGGACUCGCAGUCGAGAGAGGAUGAGAUGGUUUCCUUGGCUGUUUGCCCAGUGUACUGGUGGGGCUGCAGUUUACGGGAAGUGUGUGACUGCUUCCACCACAGGCAGACAGGAGCUGAGAAAGGACCUGUGUGUUAGUUUGAUGCUCUGAAGGCUUGCUUUGUUACAGCUGUGAAUGGCAUAUUACAGGGGUUUCAUUGUACAUUUGAUCAAAUUGUCUGUUUUUGAUGUAUCAAAUUGUCUUGCAGGCCAAGAAGUAUCUUCAACACAAUCAGGCAAUGGACCCAAAGUCCUCCCCCCCCCAUGUUGUAUCUUCAACAUAACCAGGCAAUGGACCCAAUGUCCCCUCCAUGUUCCAUGAACAUCAUAUAGUACUGUAUCAGUCAUGUGCUGAAUGACAUCUUGUCUCACCUGUUUAAGAUUGGUUCCAGGGGUAAUGCCAGGACAGUGUUGACAACACUCUUUUCAAUAAUGCUUUAAUGUCAUACUGUGUACUAACAUGGAGCCCACUACCAAAGACUUGUAGGACUGUGUCUUUAUAAUAUAAUGUCCUUUAUGGCUCAGUUGGUAAGAAAGAGCAUGGCGCUUGCAACGGCAGGAUUGUGU